rnacentral:rRNA from 1 species
UACGGAGGGGGCAAGCGUUGUUCGGAAUUACUGGGCGUAAAGGGCGCGCAGGCGGCUGCUCAAGUCAGGCGUGAAAGGCCUGGGCUCAACCCGGGAAUUGCGCUUGAGACUGGGCUGGCUUGAGUGCGGGAGAGGAUGGUGGAAUUCCCAGUGUAGAGGUGAAAUUCGUAGAUAUUGGGAAGAACACCAGUGGCGAAGGCGGCUCACUGGCCCGUAACUGACGCUGAGGUGCGAAAGCGUGGGGAGCAAACAGG